UUAAUUUCUAACUUCCUAAAGAACAAGUAAGUCAACUUACUUCGGUUUGCUGGGUAUCGGUUUUCAUUAGAAGAUCCUGUUGUGUAUGUUGGAGGAGCCUAGUGGUUCAAAAUCACUGAUUCCUCUUGAGUUCUUGUAGGAUAAGAUCUUGCUGCUCAAAGUGUUGUCUGGGAACCAGCAGCAUUUGCAUCAACUGGGAGCAUAUUGGAAAUGAAGAAUUUUCAGCCCCACCCCAGACCUAGUGAAUCUCAAGUUCGUUUUAAUACGAUUUCUGGGUGAUUUACAUGCGCAUUAAAUUUUGAGUAACACUACUGUAGAAAGAACUUCACAAAGUAUUUUUUCUCUCAUAAGACAAUCGUUGAAGGCCUGAUUAGUCCUUACUCUCAGAACAGCAUCCUUUCCCACCAGACAUUCAGCCGCUUCCUGGGCUCUCGUGUCCACAAAAGCAUUGUUGGAACAAGUCUGGGCAAAGAUCCACCAAACAGCCUUCAGGAGAAAGUUUCACUAGCUCUCCUAGCCAGGGAUGAAAGAAGCAAAAUGAAUCUGAGUCUUACCAACAUGCAAAUACAACUCCAUAGAUCUAGAGUCUAUAUUGUUCAGCAUUUUAUUACUUUAUCAAAGUAUUCUUCCUGGGCUUGCUGCUGAGCGACCAGGAAGUGGUGUUGAACCAGUUAAGACACCCAGCAAUAAAGUUCAUCACUAGCAUUCUCAUCAGUGUGGCUUCUGAUGCAGGACUCUACUGACUGGGGGAAUUGAGCCAGACUUAAAGGAGAAAAACAGAAGAAAACGCUUCAAACGACACAUUCUGGAAACAGAGCAGCUCUUAAGAUGGGAGUAAAAUGUGCAUUCUCACCCUCAUAUCCUUCAUUUGCUGGAACAGGAGUGUACCUACAAAGCAGGGUUGUGGCAAUUUCCCGCUUCUGGGAAACAGCAAAGAGGACAGAAGAGAGUGGGCAGGAAGAGGGAGAUAUUUUGGAUAUUCCACAAACGGAUGAUUAGUCCACGAAUUAAGGAGAGUCCUUGUUCCUGGAUCAUUCAGAAUGAACACACUUCCCCUGCCCUGUGAGCCACAGCAGCGAGCUUACCCUGGGUGGCUUAACCAGUGACCAGUGCGGAGAAGGAAUCUUGUAAUACAAUUAAAUGACUAUGGCCCUGUAAUUGACACAGAUGUGCAGGUGUGAGUCAUUGCAAAAUGAUCAUCAUUCCUACUGUGACAUGAGACCGGUCC
rnacentral:lncRNA from 1 species